rnacentral:rRNA from 1 species
GACGGAAGGGGCUAGCGUUGUCCGGAUUGACUGGGUGUAAAGGGCGCGUAGGUGGCUUGACGGGUCCGGCAUUAAAUCCCCCGGCCCAACCGGGGAAAAGUGUCGGAAACUAUCAGGCUCGAGUCUGAAAAAGGAGAGCGGAACUCCUGGUGUAACGGUGAAAUGUGUGGAUAUCAGGAGGAACACCGGUGGCGAAGGCGGCUCUCUAGUUCAAGACUGACACUGAGGCGCGAAAGCCGGGGGAG